AGGGCAAUCUGGCUGUGACAUCUGUCCCCCAUUGAUCACCAAGGUUGAUUCAAGUGAUAGGACUGGCUAGGCAGGUUCACACCCUUAUUCCU
rnacentral:sRNA from 1 species